GACGAACGCUGGCGGCGUGCUUAACACAUGCAAGUCGAACGGAAAGGCCCUGCUUGCAGGGUACUCGAGUGGCGAACGGGUGAGUAACACGUGGGUGAUCUGCCCUGCACUUCGGGAUAAGCCUGGGAAACUGGGUCUAAUACCGGCUAGGAGCCAUUUUUAGUGUGAUGGUUGGAAAGUUUUUUCGGUGUAGGAUGAGCUCGCGGCCUAUCAGCUUGUUGGUGGGGUAAUGGCCUACCAAGGCGGCGGCGGGUAGCCGGCCUGAGGGGGUGGACGGCCACAUUGGGACUGAGGUGCGGCCCAGACUCCUACGGGAGGCAGCAGUGGGGAAUAUUGCACAAUGGGCGCAAGCCUGAUGCAGCGACGCCGCGUGGGGGAUGACGGCCUUCGGGUUGUAAACUCCUUUCGCUAGGGACGAAGCUUUUUGUGACGGUACCUAGAUAAGAAGCACCGGCUAACUACGUG
rnacentral:rRNA from 1 species